AGUACAGGUAGAAAUAGGUAGAGGAAGGUAGGAGUUUAUUCUGUACAGGUAAAUGUAGGUAGACAGGUGAGUACAGGUAAACGUUGAUUGUACAGGUAAUUACAGGUAGACAGGUGUGAGUUUGUUUUGGACAGGUAAAUACAGGUAAACGUUGUUGAUUGUACAGGUAGGGGCAGGUGUGAGUUAGUUUUGGACAGGUAAAUAAAGGUAAGGUAAGGGUUGAUUGUACUGGUAAUUACAGGUAGACAGGUGUGAGUUUUGGACAAGUAAAUACAGGUAAACGUUGAUUGCACAGGUAGUGACAGGGGAGUUAGUAUUGGACAGGUAAAUAAAGGUAAGGUAAGGGUUGAUUUUGUACAGGUAAACUUAGGUGUGGACAGUUAAACAGUGGUUGUACAGGUAAUUAGAUAUGGACAGGUAAGGGCUGAUUUUGUACAGGUAAAUAUAGGUAAGGGUUAAUUGAAACUGGUAAACUGGUAGACAGGUGAGAGUUGACUCGGUACAGGUGAUUACAGGUAGGGUAAGGUGAGGUUUGGUUCUGUACAGGUAAACACCGGUAAGGAUUGAUUGAUACAUGUAAAGAGGUAUUUUAGCCUAGCACACACACUAUCCCCCCCCCCCCUCCCACACACACACAUACAAACAAACACAUUCUUUCUCUUUUCUCUUUUAUAGGAGCAGCGAUUAGCGGGCUUUUUAUUUUAUUUUACACUUUCUUUUUGUUGCCCUUGAGUUGCUUCCUUCACUGUAAACACACACACACACACGCACACACACACACACACACACACACACACACACACACACACAC